rnacentral:rRNA from 1 species
AAUUCUAGAGCUAAUACAUGCUAAAAGCCCCAACUUCGGAAGGGGUGUAUUUAUUAGAUAAAAAACCAAUGCCCUUCGGGGCUCCUUGGUGAUUCAUAAUAACUUAACGAAUCGCAUGGCCUUGUGCCGGCGAUGGUUCAUUCAAAUUUCUGCCCUAUCAACUUUCGAUGGUAGGAUAGUGGCCUACCAUGGUUUCAACGGGUAACGGGGAAUUAGGGUUCUAUUCCGGAGAGGGAGCCUGAGAAACGGCUACCACAUCCAAGGAAGGCAGCAGGCGCGCAAAUUACCCAAUCCCGACACGGGGAGGUAGUGACAAUAAAUACUGAUACAGGGCUCUUUAGGGUCUUGUAAUUGGAAUGAGUACAAUUUAAAUCCCUUAACGAGGAACAAUUGGAGGGCAAGUCUGGUGCCAGCAGCCAGCGGUAAUUCCAGCUCCAAUAGCGUAUAUUAAAGUUGUUGCAGUUAAAAAGCUCGUAGUUGAAUCUUGGGCCUGGUUGGCCGGUCCGCCUCACCGCGUGCACUGGUCCGACCGGGUCUUUCCUUCUGGGGAACCGCAUGUCCUUCAUUGGGUGUGUUGGGGAACCAGGACUUUUACUUUGAAAAAAUUAGAGUGUUCAAAGCAGGCCUAUGCUCGAAUACAUUAGCAUGGAAUAAUAGAAUAGGACGUGUGGUUCUAUUUUGUUGGUUUCUAGGACCGCCGUAAUGAUUAAUAGGGAUAGUCGGGGGCAUCAGUAUUCAAUUGUCAGAGGUGAAAUUCUUGGAUUUAUUGAAGACUAACUACUGCGAAAGCAUUUGCCAAGGAUGUUUUCAUUAAUCAGUGAACGAAAGUUAGGGGAUCGAAGACGAUCAGAUACCGUCGUAGUCUUAACCAUAAACUAUGCCGACUAGGGAUCGGGCGAUGUUAUCUUUUUGACUCGCUCGGCACCUUACGAGAA